ACCGCCCUAGGAGCAACCGCAGGGGCGGGCCCUGAUGCGGCGACCCCGGGCGGCCCGCGGGUCCACCCAUCCGCCCGUUCCCCACCCGGGCCGGCGGCCGCACCUGCAGCAGCACGGUGCUCGGCGUCACCUUCACCGUGUGGCGCCGCCCGUUUGGGGCCAGCACCGACACCGCGGAGCCCCCGCCGCCCGCCGGGGCCGCCAUCUUCCGCUCACGUGACCGCAGCCGGCUCGCCUCAAACAACUUUAUCCGCAACAGCCCGGACGCACAGCCACGCGGUCUCGGGGGCGGGGCCAACUCGCUUCCGGGCCCGCCCCCGGCGCUCUGGCUCUGCUUUGCUAUUAGGCAGCCUGAUGGCGUCCCGACGGCGCGGACCAAAGGCACCUCCCUGGAAGGAGCACAGUUCUGUCAGGGACAUUGUUUCUUCAUCCGGAGGCACGUGUUCCUGGGAACCUCCAAGCUCUGGGGGCUGCCUGCAAGAAAGCUAUGCUGCCUGGGGCCAGCCUGGGGCCCACAGCUACCUGUCUGUCACCAAGUACUGGGUAUGCGCACACCAGAGUUAGCCUUUGUACCUACUCCGUUAAGUACUGAUCCUGCCUCCCUUCUCAAGUGUUCCUGUGAUCAUCAUCGUCACAUGGCGACAACCUUUUAGAAAAAUAUUUUAUUGAGACUGAUGUGGUAAUGCAAGCCUUUAAUCCCAGUAUGUUGGAGGCAAAAACAGAUCCCUGAGUUCAAGACCAGCCUGGUCUACAGAGCAACAGUCUUCCAGGACAACCACGGCUACCCAGAGAAACCCUGUCUUGAAAAAAUAACAACAACAAUAAUAAUAAAGUUAUAUU
rnacentral:lncRNA from 1 species